rnacentral:rRNA from 1 species
UGAGGAACAUGACCUUCGGCGGGGGAUAGCCGGCCCAACGGCCGGGUAAUACCGCGUACGACCACAUGGGGACAUCCCUGAGUGGUGAAAGCAGCAAUGCGCCGAUGGAGUGCCUCGCGGCCUAUCAGUUAGUUGGUGAGGUAACGGCUCACCAAGGCAACGACGGGUAGCUGGUCUGAGAGGAUGGCCAGCCACAUUGGGACUGAGACACGGCCCAGACUCCGUAGGGAG